GACGAAUGCUGGCGGCGUGCUUAACACAUGCAAGUCGAACGGAAAGGCCCUGCUUGCAGGGUACUCGAGUGGCGAACGGGUGAGUAACACGUGGGUGAUCUGCCCUGCACUUCGGGAUAAGCCUGGGAAACUGGGUCUAAUACCGGAUAGGAGCCAUUUUUAGUGCGAUGGUUGGAAAGUUUUUUCGGUGUAGGAUGAGCUCGCGGCCUAUCAGCUUGUUGGUGGGGUAAUGGCCUACCAAGGCGGCGACGGGUAGCCGGCCUGAGAGGGUGGACGGCCAAAUUGGGACGGGGGAACGGCCCAGACUCCUGGGGGGGGAAGGGGGGGGGAAUUUGCACACAUGGGCGCAACCCUGGUGCAGGGCCCCCCGGGGGGGGAUUGCGGCCUUCGGGUUUAAAACUCCUUUCGCUAGGGACGAAGCUUUUGGACCGGUACCAAGAAAAGAAGCACCGGUUAACUCGGG
rnacentral:rRNA from 1 species